rnacentral:rRNA from 1 species
AGUGAACGCUGGCGGCAGGCUUAACACAUGCAAGUCGAGCGGGGUGAUGGUGCUUGCACUAUCACUUAGCGGCGGACGGGUGAGUAAUGCUUAGGAAUCUGCCUAUUAGUGGGGGACAACAUCUCGAAAGGGAUGCUAAUACCGCAUACGUCCUACGGGAGAAAGCAGGGGAUCACUUGUGACCUUGAGCUAAUAGACGAGCCUAAGUCGGAUUAGCUAGUUGGUGGGGUAAAGGCCAACCAAGGCGACGAUAUGGUGCGGGUCUGAGAGGAUGAGCCGCCACACUGGGACUGGGACACGGCCCGGACUCCUACGGGAGGCAGCAGUGGGGAAUAUUGGACAAUGGGGGGAACCCUGAUCCAGCCAUGCCGCGUGUGUGAAGAAGGCCUUAUGGUUGUAAAGCACUUUAAGCGAGGAGGAGGCUCUUUUGGUUAAUACCCAAGAUGAGUGGACGUUACUCGCAGAAUAAGCACCGGCUAACUCUGUGCCAGCCGCCGCGGAA